rnacentral:tRNA from 1 species
GUCGCCGGCAGGCCGGUCGGCCGGGGCCCGGCGAUCCGGCCGCCGCCGGGUGCGCCCGUCCACAUCAGGACCGAGGUCCGGGUGCCCGCGAAGACG